AGAGAGCUCAGCUGAAAGGAGUUUGGGUUCCUGACAUUGUGGUGCCCUAUACCAGCCCUUGCUCCUUUAGGGUUUCAUUGUUAUUUGGUGGUUAUCCUAAAUCUCCUGCUUUCAUCAGAUGUCUGAGAUGGCAAAAUUUGGAAGGAUCAAGAGAACAGAGAGUUAAUCCUUCCUAAUGGGAAAGGUGGACAAUGCCAAGGUUAAAAUACCACAUGCAUCUUUGAGUUACUACUAUACCCUCCCGAAUGGAAAUGCUUCAACUUUAAUCUGAGGCUAGGCGCAGUGGCUCACGCCUGUAAUCCCAGCACUCUGGGAGGCCAAGGCAGGCGGAUCACGAGGUCAGGAGAUCGAGACUAUCCUGGCUAACACAGUGAAAUCCUGUCUCUACUAAAAAUACAAAAAAAUUAGCCAGGCAUGGUGGCGGGCACCUGUAGUCUCAGCUAGUCGGGAGGCUGAGGCAGGAGAAUGGUGUGAACCCAGGAGGCGGAGCUUGCAGUGAGCUGAGAUCUCGCCACUGCACUCCAGCCUGGGUGACAGAGCGAGACACAUCUCAAAAAAAAAAACCCAAAAAACUUUAAUCUGAAUCCAUUAUGUGUUGGGUUGGGUUGGGGAACCUACCAAAACAGUGGGAGAGUCUUGCCCUUUUUCUAAGAUCAUCAGUGGGCAUUUUCAGCUUCCCCAUUAUGGUAGUAGCUGCAAGGAGUGUUCAGUCUCCAGUGAAAGAAAUAUUAAGAUUUAUUCCCCCAAUUUCCCCUCCCCAGAGAGUAGCUACAGACACACUGUGUAAGACCAAAUAGGAAAAGUCUGCCACAGGGGACACAGUAGGUACUUGAAUACUUGUGGGCAGUCUAACCAGCUACAAACCUCUUGUUGCCGUACUUGCAAGUCCUAAUACAGUACUGUAGUUAUUAUAAUUCCAUCAUUCUGAAAUUAGAAAGAUGGUCAUGGAGAAACUGUUCUAAGAACGCCAUUCACCCAUGAAUGUGACUUUAUUAGAGGUUUUUUUUUUAGGUUAAGGACUAUGUAUUCUUUCAAUUUCUCUAAAGUGCUUAGCACACACUCUGCCCAUGGUAAGUGUUAAAUAAACUUUCUGAUAAACCAAUGAUUGGGUAGCAUGAUGAAACUUUUCCUAUCCUGCUUUUUGAGAUUAAGAAAUCUUUUAAAAAUAUUACAGAAACUGCACUUUAUCCUGACUUACAGCCUUAAUGUUUGAAGUAGCAGUGUAUAAAAUUCACACCCAGUUAUAGACUGAGUAAUUAUAGUUGCUAUGGUAAUGGGCUCUGUGCCUAUGAGCAAAAAAAAAAAAUUCCUUUUGUGCAAGAUAUUUAUGACUGUGCCUGGCUACAUGGCAAUAGUAUUUUCCUUUGGUUUUUCAUUACAGUAACUUAUGCAUUUAGGCAGAUGAUCCUUUAUAUAUGUAAACGCUAUAAAUUCUUAGGAAGAAAAUAAAUUUAUUAAGUUUUUCACAUCAAAAAUUUCUAGUAUGAUUAUGAGUUCAAUUUUCAAGUGAAAGUAAUCCUUAAAGGAUUUAAUUUCAAAUAAGAACUACGUACAAAAUAUAGAUUUAAAUUAAUUUUCACUGUAUGAAAUGUACAGUAUACAUAGACCAACUCCUUUAACAAGAAUUUCUGGUAUGUCUUAAAGGGCAUGGGUGGUUAGAGGGAGAUCCCCAAACAAACAAUUCAAAAUUAAGAGUUUAAAAAGCAACAAUCAAGACACAUAUCCUCCUAAGUGAAUUUGAAUUAGACACUGGAAAAUUUAAAAAGGUCAGUUACUAUGAAGAAGGUGUAACAAUAUUUAUAUUAAUCAGACAGCAAAGUAACAAACUGACUUAGAGGAAGGAAAAUAGUAAAAUACAAAAGACUAAGUUAGCAGAUCAUUUUGAUAUCCAGAUGUGCUGAAAUGAUGGACACUGAGAAGAAAGAAUAGACAAAACUUGGCAACAGAUCUUGGUAUGAAAUAAAUAUCCCAUGAGUAGUACAUAAAAGCCUGGAGAGAGAGGGGAAGGAUUGUAAGUGUCAUAGUUCUGACAGCUGCUCUUUCAUCCUAUGCCUUUAAAACAAAGGGAACAAAGAAGGGAACAAAGAAGGUAGAAGCGGGGGUAUGGAGGGUUGACUUCUGGCUGUCCCUCCCUGUUUCCCUUUGUUAAUAUAUUGCUAGUAGACAUGUCUACUUCUGGUUGCUGAUGACAUAAAAUUCACCUCUAUUUCUUGGAAGCACUAUUCCAUGUUGUGAGCUAAAGGGGAUUGUACUGAUCUUGAAGAUAACAAAUCUGCCUGCUUCAAAGGUUUCACCGAUUUUAUUGCUGUGUUUCCAACACAUUUCCACAUAUGGUAUGAUAUUUAAUUUGCAAAAUAAAUCCGUAAAGCAGGAAUUACUAACCUAAUUUUGCAGAUGAGAAAACUGAGGCUUAAAGUUGUUCAAGGUCAAAGUCACGAUGUCCAUCAUGCUGUAGCUCAAUGAAUGAGUCUCACAUUGUUUCAUGUUGUUUUAUUUCUACUUUCUCAAUCCAUGUACAAGAUAGAUUUACAAACUACUGUUUUAUGUUGGUUGUAUGAAUUUCAAUACAUUUACUGUUAGAAAUAACAAAAGGUCUUAGACUGCCAGAUGCUGUUCCCAUCAACUCUACUUAAUUCAUAAUAUAGCUGAACUCUGUCAUAAAUCUAAUAACGAUGUGGACAUUAGCCAGAAGUAUGAUGUGGCUGAACCUCACCACUGAACACAAAAUGAGAAUUCACCUCAUCUUUUCAUUUGAAUUUAUUUCUACUAAAAUAUAUGUAUUAUUUUUCUUGAUUUCUAACCAGGCCCCUUCUGAAGAAAACUGGUUAACUCUAAAUUGUUACUAAAUUUUGAAUCUUCCUGUAUUUAGCAAUAAAAGUUACUGCUAAUUGUAAUAACAAUUAUGAGGAAAAAUUUAUUUAAAUGCUUCAUAGAAAGUUAAUUUUCAUUUAAUAGAAAAGAAAUAAAAAAUCUGCUUCAGACUGUUUGAUUUCUCUAUUAGGCAAUUGACCCUAACUAGUAUAUGGUGAUUUUGAGUAUUAAAAAAGAAGUUAUAAUUUUCCAGAAUAUUAAUGUUUAUUAUUUUGAAAGCAAGUAAAAUUCUCCAGUAGGAAGAUUAAUAAAACAAUUCAUUAAAAUUCUCAUCAGAAAAUCCUAUGCUUUCAAAUGUAUCUGCUCAAAGAUGUCACUCUAUGUGCGGCAAAGCUUUGUUUUACUUGAUCAAGAAAUGAAUGUGACUUUAUGAUCUUGUAUUCAACUGUGAACAGCUGCUCAUUAAUAAAAAGCCAUUAAAGUCCAA
rnacentral:lncRNA from 1 species